UUAACGUUCACGUUCAAGUAUAUAAGUACAUAUGAGUUCAGAUUUAAUAAAAGAACGUAUCGAAAGAAGGUGUCGAAAAGAAACAUGAAAAGUGUGAAAUUAUUCAUCGGGAGGGUUACCCUCACAUUAGUAUUUAUUUAUAUUGCUAUGGUUGUAUCUGCUCCUGAUGCAAAUGAGGACAUCGACUUAUAUCUACGAGACGUUAUGUAAUAUAACUGAAACGAGGAUUAUUUGAUCAUAUUUGAUGAUUUAUAUAUAUUGUUAUCCAUUUGUAGACUUAAAAAUGUAAUAAAUCUAGUUAGAGUGAAA